rnacentral:rRNA from 1 species
CGUGUAGGCGGUAUCAUAAGUCAGAUGUGAAAGUUCGGGGCUUAACCCCGGAAUUGCAUUUGAAACUGUAAUACUUGAGUACUGGAGAGGUAAGUGGAAUUCCUAGUGUAGCGGUGAAAUGCGUAGAUAUUAGGAGGAACACCAGUGGCGAAGGCGACUUACUGGACAGAUACUGACGCUGAGGCGCGAAAGCGUGGGGAGCAAACAGGAUUAGAUACCCCAGUA